rfam:Triticum aestivum genome assembly, contig: Triticum_aestivum_CS42_TGACv1_scaffold_158347_2DL
GAAAUACUCCCUCUGUCCAGAAAUACUUGUCGCAAAAAUAGAUACAAAUGGAUGCAUCUGAAUCUAAAAUACGUCUAGAUACAUCCAUUCAUCCGACAAGUAUUUCCGGACGGAGGGAGCACUAG